rnacentral:rRNA from 1 species
UGCGCAGGCGGUUUUGUAAGACAGAUGUGAAAUCCCCGGGCUUAACCUGGGAACUGCAUUUGUGACUGCAAGACUAGAGUACGGCAGAGGGGGGUAGAAUUCCACGUGUAGCAGUGAAAUGCGUAGAUAUGUGGAGGAAUACCGAUGGCGAAGGCAGCCCCCUGGGUCGAUACUGACGCUCAUGCACGAAAGCGUGGGGAGCAAACAGGAUUAGAUACCCUGGUAGUCCACGCCCUAAACGAUGUCAACUAGGUGUUGGGGGAGGAGACUUCCUUAGUACCGCAGCUAACGCGUGAAGUUGACCGCCUGGGGAGUACGGCCGCAAGGUUGAA